GCUUCGUUAGCUCAGUGGCAGAGCAGCUGUUUCGUAAUCAGCAGGUCGGGAGUUCAAAUCUCCUGCGAAGCUCCA
rnacentral:tRNA from 1 species